rnacentral:rRNA from 1 species
AUUGAACGCUGGCGGCAGGCCUAACACAUGCAAGUCGAGCGGAUGAAGAGAGCUUGCUCUCUGAUUCAGCGGCGGACGGGUGAGUAAUGCCUAGGAAUCUGCCUGGUAGUGGGGGACAACGUUUCGAAAGGAACGCUAAUACCGCAUACGUCCUACGGGAGAAAGCAGAGGACCUUCGGGCCUUGCGCUAUCAGAUGAGCCUAGGUCGGAUUAGCUAGUAGGUGAGGUAAAGGCUCACCUAGGCGACGAUCCGUAACUGGUCCGAGAGGAUGAUCAGUCACACUGGAACUGAGACACGGUCCAGACUCCUACGGGAGGCAGCAGUGGGGAAUAUUGGACAAUGGGCGAAAGCCUGAUCCAGCCAUGCCGCGUGUGUGAAGAAGGUCUUCGGAUUGUAAAGCACUUUAAGUUGGGAGGAAGGGCAGUAAGUUAAUACCUUGCUGUUUUGACGUUACCAACAGAAUAAGCACCGGCUAACUUCGUGCCAGCCGCCGCCGUAAGAC